GGGCAUGUCUGUGCUUUCCUGUCUUUGAACGUGUAAGAAAUGGAGGGAAAGAAAUGUGGACUUGGGCCAGCUUGUUCCUCCCAGGCUCAAGAUCAACCAUCCCACAUAG